CCCCUAACCUCGCCAGUGCCUCCCCCUCGCUCUCUUCCGCCCGGACUUUUUUUCACUCGGAUUCAGCGCCAUUUGGCUUGGAUACGGCGGGGUCCCUCGCCAGUGUGCUCGUCCCCUGGCGCGGGCCCCGGUCGCCUCGUCUCGCCUUCCGGACCUUACCUAUUGUGGAGUCGCGCCGCCGAAGAGCAGUAAGACGCGUGAAUACGAGUCGCGCCGCCGCCGAGCCGUAAGUCGCGUGAAUACGAGUCGCGCAGCCAGAGAGCCAGUAAGACGCGUGAAGAGAGACGCGCCGCCGGAGAGCUUGUAAGCCGCGUGAAUUGGAGUCGUGACUAGGAUCCGAGGGAGCCAGCCGCAACAGAGGAGGUGAUGCCGGACCAGCACGUGAACCAACAAAUUGGACCUUAGUCAGGGAACCAGUAUCAAUGACCGUGAUCCUGACUUGUCGACAGAAGACGAUGCAUUCAUAAGGAUAAAAGUGCCUUCCGGUCCAACCUAUUU